ACGACCUCAACUCAAGCAAGAUUACCGCUGACU
rnacentral:rRNA from 1 species